rnacentral:rRNA from 1 species
UACGAAGGGGGCUAGCGUUGCUCGGAAUCACUGGGCGUAAAGGGCGCGUAGGCGGCCAUUCAAGUCGGGGGUGAAAGCCCAGGGCUCAACCCUGGAAUUGCCUUCGAUACUGUUUGGCUAGAGACCGGAAGAGGUGAGUGGAAUUCCGAGUGUAGAGGUGAAAUUCGUAGAUAUUCGGAAGAACACCAGUGGCGAAGGCGGCUCACUGGCUCGGAACUGACGCUGAGGUGCGAAAGCGUGGGGAGCAAACAGG